UACGUAGGGGCGAGCGUUGUCCGGAUUUAUUGGGCGUAAAACGCUUGUAGGCGGCCACCGCGCGUCGGACGUGAAAUCUCCCGGCUCAACUGGGAGGGUCGUGCGAUACGGCGGGGCUCGAGGCCGGUAGGGGACGCGGAAUUCCCGGUGUAGUGGUGGAAUGCGUAGAUAUCGGGAGGAACACCAGUGGCGCAGGCGGCGUCCUGGACCGGCACUGACGCUGAGGAGCGAAAGCGUGGGGAGCGAUCCGG
rnacentral:rRNA from 1 species